UGAUUGGGGAGUGAACUGUAGUCAGCUGGCUGCUUUGUGAAGAAGAAAGAGUCAGUGCUCUGAGGAGAUGUCCAUGAGAAACCUCAAGAAGAAAUAUAAGGAUGUCUACUGGAAUAGAGCUGAAGCACAAGAUGACAGCAGCUGUUUGCAAGGAGAAGGAGCAAUAAAAUCCCUAAAUAUUCAGAUAAUGUCAUGAACCCCUUAGAGAUGGUACAGCAACAACAAAAAAUAAGAUCAAAAAUGGCAAAAUGAAAAGUUUUCAUCUGCAUUACUUCAGCAAGGCUAUUCUCUGGUUUAAAGAAGAGGAAGGAAAAUUUCUCUGACAAGGUUCUUUGGUGGCAUCUCCAAAAAAUAAAAAACCCAAAAAACUUUGCCCAGCUGGUUAGGCUG